ensembl:snRNA U6 U6 spliceosomal RNA
GUGCUCAUUUUGACAGCACAUACAGUAAAAUUAGAAUGAUAAAGAGAAGAUUGGUAUGGCCUCUGUGAAGGAUGACAUACAAAUUCUUGAAGCAUUCCAUAGUAAC